rnacentral:rRNA from 1 species
UUCCCCUAGUAACGGCGAGUGAAGAGGGAAAAGCCCAGCACCGAAGCCUGCGGCAGUUUUGCUGUUAGGCAAUGUGGUGUUUGGGUCGGCUCGUGGCAUUGCCACUCCACUCGAAGUCCAGCAUUGAGUAUGGUUUCCUGGAUUUGGCCCAGAGAGGGUGAAAGGCCCGUACGAGUGGAUGUUUCAGAAAUGUAAGGCAGUGCACCAGGCCGGCCUUCGAGUCGGGUUGUUUGAGAAUGCAGCCCAAAGCGGGUGGUAAACUCCAUCCAAGGCUAAAUACUAGCACGAGUCCGAUAGCGAACAAGUACCGUGAGGGAAAGUUGAAAAGUACUUUGAAGAGAGAGUAAACAGUACGUGAAACCGCAUAGAGGUAAACGGGUGGCGUCAAGCUGCAAGCCCAGAGGAUUCAGUCGGUCAGGAUGUUGUGUAUGCGCCUGGCGCAUCUAUCAGUCAGUGUUAGAUGAGGGGCAGUCCGCCGGGAAACGGUGGGCCCAGCCGCAAGGUUGGGAUUUGCGUACCGGGUGGUUGCCGGAGCAUGCUGCUCGUCUGUUGGACUGUCUGGCCGAUGCACUUCCUCUGUUAAGGUGAACACCACGACCGGUGGUACUGCCAGUCUGUUGUGGCCAAGUUGUGCUCAGUUGGCAUUUAUGUCGCCUGGGUGCGAUCACAGGCAAAGUCGGUGAACGGUGUUCGGGCGUUCGCGUCAGUUCAUGUUAUCGGUCACUGCUUGUCAACGGGUGCGUUGCCGAUUGUUGUAGCCGUCGGUGGCAUGACCUGGUGGGCCAUGAUGGUAAAAAUAACUGUGCAGGGCGCCGGAGUGCUCGGUCUCUAA